GACGUUCUUCCUCUACACGAUUUCUUAGCGGUCGCCUCAUCUCUUCGACAUGAGAGCUAAGUGGAGAAAGAAGCGCAUGCGCAGGCUGAAGCGGAAAAGAAGAAAGAUGAGGCAGAGGUCUAAGUAGACUGUCCUCUCCGCCAUGGCUGUGACAGCACAUGUUGCCAACAACCAGACCGGUGAGGUCAGCUGGAGACCCAGGACCCUCCCGGUGUCAAGUCUGAGGCCAGUGGCGCCCAUAUCAACCUGAAGCAGUGGAGCUGCAGCAGCUGAUUGAUGUUGGAGAGCUGAUCCAAGACCUGCUGGAUGACGGGCUUUUCCUCUGGGACAUUCUGGACUCUUUGUUCUUAAUUCCUCAACUUUUGUCAUUUGUUUUUGUUUAUACUCUGAUUAAAGGUUUUGGUUUAGA